GGGCAGUGACGAAAAAUUUGCGCUAAAAUGUGAUGACUGGGUCUCAUCACCAUCGUCUGAUCUUUCGGACGAGAACUCGCGCAUCCGAGCUC
rnacentral:snoRNA from 11 species